rnacentral:rRNA from 1 species
AGGAGAAGGAAGCUUGCUUCUUUCAAAUCUAGUGGCAAACGGGUGAGUAACACGUAAACAACCUGCCUUCAGGAUGGGGACAACAGACGGAAACGACUGCUAAUACCGCAUAAGCCCACGGAUUCGCAUGGAUCUGCGGGAAAAGGAUUUAUUCGCUUCAGGAUGGACUCGCGUCCAAUUAGCUAGUUGGUGAGGUAACGGCCCACCAAGGCGACGAUUGGUAGCCGGACUGAGAGGUUGAACGGCCACAUUGGGACUGAGACACGGCCCAGACUCC